rnacentral:rRNA from 1 species
UACGGAGGGUGCAAGCGUUAUCCGGAUUCACUUGGUUUAAAUGGUGCGUAGGUGGGUUGAUAAGUCAGUGGUGAAAUCCCCGAGCUUAACUUGGGAACUGCCAUUGAUACUAUUGAUCUUGAAUACCGUGGAGGUCAGCGGAAUAUGUCAUGUAGCGGUGAAAUGCUUAGAUAUGACAUAGAACACCAAUUGCGAAGGCAGCUGGCUACGCGAAUAUUGACACUGAUGCACGAAAGCGUGGGGAUCAAACAGG